rnacentral:rRNA from 1 species
UACGUAGGGGGCAAGCGUUGUCCGGAAUCAUUGGGCGUAAAGAGCGUGUAGGCGGCUCGGUAAGUCCGCUGUGAAAGUCCAGGGCUCAACCCUGGAAUGCCGGUGGAAACUGUCGAGCUAGAGUCCGGAAGAGGCGAGUGGAAUUCCUGGUGUAGCGGUGAAAUGCGCAGAUAUCAGGAGGAACACCGGUGGCGAAGGCGGGUCUCUGGGCCGUAACUGACGCUGAGGAGCGAAAGCAUGGGGAGCGAACAGG